ensembl:lncRNA
CCUGGUUACAGGGCGGGCGGGCUGCUCAGGGACAGAGGGCUCCAAAGCUUGGGACACACACCCCGAGUACGGGGCUGUCACCGCCGCCAGCAGGACAGGCGGCCACGCAAGGACAGGCCCAAGCCCUGGCUACAGGGAGGCCUUGGCCACAGAACUACCGUGUGGCUCUGAUCUGCACUAAGGAAAAUAGUAGGAAGACAGGACACUCGCUGCGCUCGCAGGACUAAGAGGGAACACCCCUUUUGCGGCAUGCACCAAAGUCCUCCAUUCCCCCCUGGGAAGUCAAAGCUAAGCUGCAGCCAUCUUUGUGGAGGCCUAAAGGGAAAGCACACCCGCUCAACCACUCCACAAACACAAACAAGGAAAGGAAGGGGAACACGCACACACAGGCACGACUUUCCAGAAGGGAAGGACAACGCAGCACAGCCAACACCUGGGAAUAAACCCACAACCACGGGCAACAGACAAGAGCCUGUGACCUGUCCCUAGGCUGCACGGAGGCCACAGACCUCAACGUGCCAAGGGGCUUCUCAGGUAAAGCCAGCGGCCAAAUGCCGUGACGCACACCCCGAGUACGGGGCCGUCGCGUUGACAAGCCACCAUCAGGCAACGAUGCCGAGGGGCCGGGGGAGGAAGAGGGGCAGGGAAACGGCACUACCCUGCUUACAGGGUGGCCUCGGGGUCCGGCGAGCUCCAUUUCCCACUCAGGUGCGGAGAGGUGGCUCUCGCCCUCCGUUACAGGGGGCCACGCUCCCCAGGCAGCCAAAGGAGCAGCAAGGCAAAAGGCCAACUACAGCAAAGACCCGAGCCCCGCUUACGGGGAGGUCGCCCAGCACAACGCCAGCCUGGUCACCAAAGGCGCCGGCAGCUCUCAACUCAAACGUGACUGUGCCCCUGCUAACGGGACAGGUGCUUUGCCCAGGGAGCCUCUCUCCUUCCCCCCCGCAUCUGCACGCUUCCGCUUCCUCUUCUUGCUUGCUCCUGCCUCCCAGGCAGCGGGGCGGCACGGCCAAAGGCCGCAGUCGGGAUCCCAGCCCCGAUUCCAGGGAGGGCGCAAGCCCCACCCCGCAUCUCACGGCCCCGCGCCUCUGAAAGGCCGGGGCCACAUUCCCACCUGAGUACAGGGGGUCUCUCAGAACGCAGCUCACCAAGCACACACGGGGGGCACACACAGCCCUGCCUACAGGACGGUACCCCCACACCUCACCCUCUUCAAGAAGCCCCGCGGAGCACGAGGCUCCCGCCAACGCCUGAGUUACAGGCUGGCCCGCCCGGCAGCAGCAGAACAUCACCAACGCCUCGUCUUUGGAAGCCCAGGGAGCUACCUCGACCCACCGAGCGGGGAGGUCACCCCACACACAAACAGCACCUCAACCUGCACCCUCUGACGGGACAGGGAGGGGUCACUCCCACCAGCUGGACGGCUAAAGCAGCCGGCUGCAACGCUGCAGCCUCCCCACACCUGGUUACAGGGCGGGCGGG